rnacentral:lncRNA from 1 species
UACCAGGAAAGCAUGUGAGUAGGGUAGAGACCUAUGUUUCAAAGUCAUGUUCUAUGCUCUUAUAAAUACAGUGUUGCAUAAAAGAGAAUAUUUUUGGAAGUCUAUCAUCACCUUCCCUAGCCUACAUAAAGAACAUCUAAUAAUCUUGUAUUGAACAUGAAAAUCAUCUAAAAAGUUUGAUGGAGCACCUUCUGCCUAGACAGAUAAUAAAUGUUUCUAUAAAAUGAAAAUGAGCAAGCAAGUUUGUUACGGGAGAUCCAAGCUGGUGUUGCUGCAAGAUGUUGCUUAAUGUGGAUAUUGUCACCCUCAUGUCAAAGAAGAAUGAUACAGUAUAUUAACAAAACAAUGCCUGACUACACUGCCCUUUUUGUUCUUGUAUUAUCUUCUCAAAUUAAGGAUUGCUGUUUUCACCAUUUUAUUGUCUUUAAGCUUUAAUCCAAGAAUUUCUAUAAUCAAGAUGAUAAAACUCAAUUAAAUUGUUGCCAAAUUUUAGUAAAUAACUAAAUCAAGAAAAUUUAUCUCAUACAUUUUCCAUCAAAUUCUCCAGCUGGAUGCUCACAGAUGCUAUCAUCUCCUUCUCCUCGUUUG